rnacentral:rRNA from 1 species
UACGUAGGGGGCUAGCGUUAUCCGGAAUUACUGGGCGUAAAGGGUGCGUAGGUGGUUUCUUAAGUCAGAGGUGAAAGGCUACGGCUCAGCCGUAGUAAGCCUUUGAAACUGGGAAACUUGAGUGCAGGAGAGGAGAGUGGAAUUCCUAGUGUAGCGGUGAAAUGCGUAGAUAUUAGGAGGAACACCAGUUGCGAAGGCGGCUCUCUGGACUGUAACUGACACUGAGGCACGAAAGCGUGGGGAGCAAACAGGAUUAGAUACCCUGGUAGUCCCUGA